UUUACUUAGUUUACUUCCAACGGUUGCAAAGUAAAGACGUAUCAUUGCAAUGAAGUGCUACUUCUUCGUGAUUUUUGCGGCUCUUUUCGCAUUAAAUUUUAUACCUAAUAGUGCUAAAGUAUUUGAUAGUUCAGCUUCUAGACUAGGUGUAAGACUAUCUAGAGAAGUUUUUAUGUCAGCUGCGUCAAAUAUGUGUCCUUUAAACUAUGUGACAAUUGGAAAACUUUGCGUAACUUGUGCCAUGUGUGCAGAAAUGAUGGGAAGUCCCUGUCCGCGGUGUCCAUAAUCAUGGUGACGUCAACAUUGAAGAAAUGUAAUAUGGCAACUAAAGACUUUUAUAAAAUGUAUUAUUUUUGGACAAUAAAAUGAUAAGUAGUUUGUAUAUCAAGAUCUAAGAUUUAAUAAAGGAGCCAAGGAGAUGUUGAAGAAUUGAAUAUAAAUGUGUUUUUAAUAACAUACAAUGAAAAUA